CACGCUGUAAACGAUGAACACUAGACGUAGCGGGUAUUGACCCCUGCUGUGUCGUAGCUAACGCAUUAAGUGUUCCGCCUGGGGAGUACGGCCGCAAGGCUAAAACUCAAAGGAAUUGACGGGGGCCCGCACAAGCGGUGGAGUAUGUGGUUUAAUUCGACGCAACGCGCAGAACCUUACCCGGAUUUGACAUCGAGGUAAGACUCCUUGAAAGAGGGGUCGCCCCUUCGGGGGACCAAAGACAGGUGC
rnacentral:rRNA from 1 species